ensembl:snRNA U2 U2 spliceosomal RNA
AUCGCUUCUCAGCCUUUUGGCUAAGCGUAGUAUCUGUUCUUUUCAGUUUAAUAUCUGAUAUGUUCUCUAUUUGACAUGUAGAAUAAUCACAGAAUCCUGAAACCUAC